GGGAAAGAUUUAUCGGAGAAGGAUUAGCCCGCGUUAGAUUAGGUAGUUGGUGGGGUAAUGGCCUACCAAGCCUACGAUCUAUAGCUGGUUUGAGAGGAUGAUCAGCCACACUGGGACUGAGACACGGCCCAGACUCCUACGGGAGGCAGCAGUAGGGAAUCUUAGACAAUGGGGGAAACCCUGAUCUAGCCAUGCCGCGUGUGUGAUGAAGGCCUUAGGGUCGUAAAGCACUUUCGCCAGAGAUGAUAAUGACAGUAUCUGGUAAAGAAACCCCGGCUAACUCCGUGCCAGCAGCCGCGGUAAUACGGAGGGGGUUAGCGUUGUUCGGAAUUACUGGGCGUAAAGCGCACGUAGGCGGAUUAGUAAGUUAGAGGUGAAAUCCCAGGGCUCAACCCUGGAACUGCCUUUAAUACUGCUAGUCUUGAGUUCGAGAGAGGUAAGUGGAAUUCCRAGUGUAGAGGUGAAAUUCGUAGAUAUUYGGAGGAACACCAGUGGCGAAGGCGGCUUACUGGCUCGAUACUGACGCUGAGGUGCGAAAGUGUGGGAGCAAACAGG
rnacentral:rRNA from 1 species